CGACGACAGCACCGACGAAGACUAUAUUGGCAUCCGGCACGCGGAUUACAGCGGUUGUUGGACAAACGUCGGACGACAGUCACCUGCCUCAAACAUUACAAUCGGCAUAGGAUGCCUUCAGCGAGAAACCCUGUUGCACGAGAUCGGUCACGUGCUCGGCAUGUUCCACGAACACACGCGCCCGGACCGCGACGACUUCGUCGACGUCAGCUGGGACAACAUCCGUUCGGGAGAGGAGUACAACUACGAGAUCAUCUACGAGGCGCUAACGCUGGGCGUGCCCUACGACUACGGCUCCCUGCAGCAUUACCGUGCAAACGAAUUUCUAUCGACGAAUCUCUCUAUACGCUAACACCGUUCCGGACAUGGCGCUUAGGAAUACGAUGGGCGCAGAGACGAGUGGUGUCGUUCCGCGAUGCUGAACUCAAUCAACAUGCACUACU